rnacentral:rRNA from 1 species
UCGACGACUCUGGUAUUGAUUGGUGCUUGCAUCAUGAUUUACAUUUGAGUGAGUGGCGAACUGGUGAGUAACACGUGGGAAACCUGCCCAGAAGCGGGGGAUAACACCUGGAAACAGAUGCUAAUACCGCAUAACAACUUGGACCGCAUGGUCCGAGUUUGAAAGAUGGCUUCGGCUAUCACUUUUGGAUGGUCCCGCGGCGUAUUAGCUAGAUGGUGGGGUAACGGCUCACCAUGGCAAUGAUACGUAGCCGACCUGAGAGGGUAAUCGGCCACAUUGGGACUGAGACACGGCCCAAACUCCUACGGGAGGCAGCAGUAGGGAAUCUUCCACAAUGGACGAAAGUCUGAUGGAGCAACGCCGCGUGAGUGAAGAAGGGUUUCGGCUCGUAAAACUCUGUUGUUAAAGAAGAACAUAUCUGAGAGUAACUGUUCAGGUAUUGACGGUAUUUAACCAGAAAGCCACGGCUAACUACGUGCCAGCAGCCGCGGUAAUACGUAGGUGGCAAGCGUUGUCCGGAUUUAUUGGGCGUAAAGCGAGCGCAGGCGGUUUUUUAAGUCUGAUGUGAAAGCCUUCGGCUCAACCGAAGAAGUGCAUCGGAAACUGGGAAACUUGAGUGCAGAAGAGGACAGUGGAACUCCAUGUGUAGCGGUGAAAUGCGUAGAUAUAUGG